rnacentral:tRNA from 1 species
GGGUGUAUAGCUCAGUUGGUAGAGCAUUGGGCUUUUAACCUAAUGGUUGCAGGUUUAAGUAUUGCUAUACCCA